UGAAAACCUUAGUCAUCUGGGAUUAGGUGUUGUUAAGGAAAUACCAUUGACACAGUCUGAAAAAUUUUAAAAAGCAUAUCGUCUUUCGCAGCGUUUAGCCCAACUAGUCUCAGAAAGUAACAAUAAUGAAUUUGAAAUCAGGUUAAAUGUUCUACAAAAUCUAGCUAAAGUUUGGGAGGAAAAUAAAAGCAUAGAUGUGUCAAUCCUGGAAUCACCUGUGGAUUUUUUAAUAGAAACUAAUUUGAAUCACCCUGCUGAAAUAGGUAAGAAGAUAUUAUGUGAUGAUACUGGUAAAGAGAUGUUAUGUGAUGGUAUAAAAACUUUAUAUCCUCAAAACUCAUCAAAUAGUAUUGAUGUUGACUUCAAAUCUAAUGAAUUCUUUAAUCCAAUAGAUAUAAACCAAAGGGGUGUUUGUAGUUUCCUUACUUUAAAUGACUCGAAAUCAACUGACUCGUCAAAUCAACUUGUUAAUAGCUGUAAUUCAAAAAUUUCAAUACCCCAGUCUCUUACAAAAACAAAUUAUUUAUCUAAUAGUUCCACUGAAUUUGAGUGUAAAUUACACUUGCAAGAACAAAUGAUUUACUCUUCCCCUGAUCUUCAAUUGAACAAUGGUAGAAAUGAGUUAACUAGUGUUCAAAGCUUGGCUCUUGAUCAAAGUCCCACUCUUGAAAAUUUUAACACAAUAGUUAGUGAAAAUCAGAACAGUUGUGAUGCAGUAGAGGCAAGCAAAAGUGGUUCUUUGAAUAUUUAUUCUAUCAAUAUAAAAGAUCUUAAGUUUCCUCCAAAGAUUAAGUCGCGAGGAAGGCCUAAAGCUACAGAGAAAAAAACUGCAAUGGGUGCAUGUAGAUAGGAAAAAAAGUGUUUGUCUUAUAUUGAUAAAAGUGCAGCAGGAAAAAUAAAUGUUCUUCUGGGUGGUAUUCUCUUAAAAGGAAAAGUUGAGGAUAUUACUCAUGCAAUGCAAGCUGAUGUUGGUGAUUUAGAAUUAAAGGCUGGCAAUCUCCCUUCUGCAUUUCUCAAUGACGCUGCAUCAAUACAUAUUUUAAAACCAUAUUUAACCAGUUUGGCCUGGAAUAGGCUGAAGAAAGCAAUUUUGCAACAAAAGCAACUGGCGAUAUGGAAUUGUCCGUUUUGCACUUUAAAUACAGCUUCCAGUUAAAGCAUUGAAUGUGAUAGCUGUUUAGAGUGGUAUCAUUUCAAAUGUGUUUCCAUUUCAAAGAAACCAAAGAAGGAAUGGUUUUGUGACAAAUGUCAUAAUAUGAUAAAUGAAAGUAAUAAGAAAGGAAAUUUAAAAAAAUCUGCAUAUAUAGUUAAAAAAAAAAUAAUUAAAGAUAAAAAAAUUAAAAAACAAAAAACAUAAAAAAUGAUUAAAAAAAUACAAAAACAAACA
rnacentral:misc_RNA from 1 species